CUGAACCGUACCAUUUUAAAAGGGUAGCACUUUGCCAAAGUUACAGGAGUGUUGAUCCUCCAUAUUUGCCUAACUGAGGCCAAAGUUUGUGUAUGUGUUUCUACUCAUCGGUCAGGUUUUUGUGUGGAUUUCUUUCCCUUUUCCCUUUUACAUUCAGUUCAUCCCAUUCAUCGUCUUGAAUUUUCCUUGGAUGGCGAGCCACCCAUGAACCAAUUGGAACCCUGGAUUGAUGUCACAAGGAACAAGCCCUUGUUCAUGCAGAUGAAGUCUGAAACUCUUCAAGGAACUGAUGGACGGUCUAUUGGUUAUAAUGUUUUUUCUAAAUGUAUCACUG